UACGUAGGGGGCAAGCGUUGUCCGGAUUUAUUGGGCGUAAAGAGCGUGUAGGCGGCCUGAAAGGUCAGCUGUGAAAACUCGAGGCUCAACCUCGAGACGUCGGUUGAAACCAUCUGGCUAGAGUCCGGAAGAGGAGUGUGGAAUUCCCGGUGUAGCGGUGAAAUGCGCAGAGAUCGGGAAGAACACCCGUGGCGAAGGCGGCACUCUGGGACGGUACUGACGCUGAGGCGCGAAAGCUAGGGGAGCAAACGGG
rnacentral:rRNA from 1 species